GCCUUCAGUUGUAUAAAAAAAAGUUUACUGAGCGGCUUCAGUAACGUGCAGUAACGGGGUGUCAGUAAUGGUAACGGCGUUAUAGUGACAGUCAGAGUAAUUAGUUAGAUUAAUCGUCACUGAAAAAAGUAACGGCGUUACUAACGCCGUUUAUUUCAACACCGUUAUUCCCAUCACUGCUGUGACUG